CGCUUCUCAAGAAAGAGAGGGGCAGUCGGUCUGUACAUGCGUGAGGUGGCGAGAGGCGUGUCCAGGGGGCGGCUAGUAGCGUGUGCCACCGUGGAAAUAUGUACAGACAUAAAGAAGACGCCCUCAAGAAAGGCCUGAGUCCAGACCGAGACCCAGAGAAAUGUAAACAAACGCACCAGUCAGACUUGAUAUAGGAGUGAAUUUGUUGCUUUUUAAAGCGGCAGUCGGUCUGUACAUGUGUGAGGUGGCGAGGGGUGUCGCCAGGGGGCGGCUAGUAGCGUCUGCCACCAGGGAAAUAUGUAAAAACAUAAAAAAGACGCUUCUCAAGAAAGAGAGGGGCAGUCGGUCUGUACAUGCGUGAGGUGGCGAGAGGCGUGUCCAGGGGGCGGCUAGUAGCGUGUGCCACCGUGGAAAUAUGUACAGACAUAAAGAAGACGCCCUCAAGAAAGGCCUGAGUCCAGACCGAGACCCAGAGAAAUGUAAACAAACGCACCAGUCAGACUUGAUAUAGGAGUGAAUUUGUUGCUUUUUAAAGCGGCAGUCGGUCUGUACAUGUGUGAGGUGGCGAGGGGUGUCGCCAGGGGGCGGCUAGUAGCGUCUGCCACCAGGGAAAUAUGUAAAAACAUAAAAAAGACGCUUCUCAAGAAAGAGAGGGGCAGUCGGUCUGUACAUGCGUGAGGUGGCGAGAGGCGUGUCCAGGGGGCGGCUAGUAGCGUGUGCCACCGUGGAAAUAUGUACAGACAUAAAGAAGACGCCCUCAAGAAAGGCCUGAGUCCAGACCGAGACCCAGAGAAAUGUAAACAAACGCACCAGUCAGACUUGAUAUAGGAGUGAAUUUGUUGCUUUUUAAAGCGGCAGUCGGUCUGUACAUGUGUGAGGUGGCGAGGGGUGUCGCCAGGGGGCGGCUAGUAGCGUCUGCCACCAGGGAAAUAUGUAAAAACAUAAAAAAGACGCUUCUCAAGAAAGAGAGGGGCAGUCGGUCUGUACAUGCGUGAGGUGGCGAGAGGCGUGUCCAGGGGGCGGCUAGUAGCGUGUGCCACCGUGGAAAUAUGUACAGACAUAAAGAAGACGCCCUCAAGAAAGGCCUGAGUCCAGACCGAGACCCAGAGAAAUGUAAACAAACGCACCAGUCAGACUUGAUAUAGGAGUGAAUUUGUUGCUUUUUAAAGCGGCAGUCGGUCUGUACAUGUGUGAGGUGGCGAGGGGUGUCGCCAGGGGGCGGCUAGUAGCGUCUGCCACCAGGGAAAUAUGUAAAAACAUAAAAAAGACGCUUCUCAAGAAAGAGAGGGGCAGUCGGUCUGUACAUGCGUGAGGUGGCGAGAGGCGUGUCCAGGGGGCGGCUAGUAGCGUGUGCCACCGUGGAAAUAUGUACAGACAUAAAGAAGACGCCCUCAAGAAAGGCCUGAGUCCAGACCGAGACCCAGAGAAAUGUAAACAAACGCACCAGUCAGACUUGAUAUAGGAGUGAAUUUGUUGCUUUUUAAAGCGGCAGUCGGUCUGUACAUGUGUGAGGUGGCGAGGGGUGUCGCCAGGGGGCGGCUAGUAGCGUCUGCCACCAGGGAAAUAUGUAAAAACAUAAAAAAGACGCUUCUCAAGAAAGAGAGGGGCAGUCGGUCUGUACAUGCGUGAGGUGGCGAGAGGCGUGUCCAGGGGGCGGCUAGUAGCGUGUGCCACCGUGGAAAUAUGUACAGACAUAAAGAAGACGCCCUCAAGAAAGGCCUGAGUCCAGACCGAGACCCAGAGAAAUGUAAACAAACGCACCAGUCAGACUUGAUAUAGGAGUGAAUUUGUUGCUUUUUAAAGCGGCAGUCGGUCUGUACAUGUGUGAGGUGGCGAGGGGUGUCGCCAGGGGGCGGCUAGUAGCGUCUGCCACCAGGGAAAUAUGUAAAAACAUAAAAAAGACGCUUCUCAAGAAAGAGAGGGGCAGUCGGUCUGUACAUGCGUGAGGUGGCGAGAGGCGUGUCCAGGGGGCGGCUAGUAGCGUGUGCCACCGUGGAAAUAUGUACAGACAUAAAGAAGACGCCCUCAAGAAAGGCCUGAGUCCAGACCGAGACCCAGAGAAAUGUAAACAAACGCACCAGUCAGACUUGAUAUAGGAGUGAAUUUGUUGCUUUUUAAAGCGGCAGUCGGUCUGUACAUGUGUGAGGUGGCGAGGGGUGUCGCCAGGGGGCGGCUAGUAGCGUCUGCCACCAGGGAAAUAUGUAAAAACAUAAAAAAGACGCUUCUCAAGAAAGAGAGGGGCAGUCGGUCUGUACAUGCGUGAGGUGGCGAGAGGCGUGUCCAGGGGGCGGCUAGUAGCGUGUGCCACCGUGGAAAUAUGUACAGACAUAAAGAAGACGCCCUCAAGAAAGGCCUGAGUCCAGACCGAGACCCAGAGAAAUGUAAACAAACGCACCAGUCAGACUUGAUAUAGGAGUGAAUUUGUUGCUUUUUAAAGCGGCAGUCGGUCUGUACAUGUGUGAGGUGGCGAGGGGUGUCGCCAGGGGGCGGCUAGUAGCGUCUGCCACCAGGGAAAUAUGUAAAAACAUAAAAAAGACGCUUCUCAAGAAAGAGAGGGGCAGUCGGUCUGUACAUGCGUGAGGUGGCGAGAGGCGUGUCCAGGGGGCGGCUAGUAGCGUGUGCCACCGUGGAAAUAUGUACAGACAUAAAGAAGACGCCCUCAAGAAAGAUGUGGUGAAGACAGUGUUAUGCACCACCACACCACCAUUACACUUCCUGUCUUGCUUGGUGAAUGAACAGAGCACCACUAACAUCACAUCAUUGCAUCACCACAUCACCACACCACCACCUCCUGUCCUGCCCCAGUGAAAUAGAACAUCACCACCACAUCACCACAUCAAGAGUCAGUGAUUGCCUGCAGCCAGCCCUAGCCUGACCCGCCAGACAUGUGUCCCAGGCCUUCCCCUAGCCUGUAGAGCCAUGUAAGCCUGCAGGUCAAGGUCAGGUAAAAAAAAAAAACAGGCCGUAACGUAAAAGAUCAAGACAUUUACGAAGACUGUCUUUGAUGGGCUCAGGUCCUCCGUGCAGACCACCAACAAGCAAGAGAUUGACGAAAUACAGGUUGUGAAGACGCUGCAAGCUGAUGCCUUCAGAGAUCGCGAAGGUCCUCACCUUGUUGUAGGAGAGCUGACAACAUGUACCAGCCAGCAGCAACUCCCAUGCUAACAGGCUUCUCCCCCGCGGGUAUGUAGCACCUCUGGAGUCGCUCGAUGAAGAAGAGGAUGCUGGCGAGGCCUGUCGUGUUAGCCGGGAUGCGCCGGUACAGAGCUGUGUCCGUUGGGGUUGUGUAGGCAAGCAUCUUCUUGGCAAGGUCCUCGUAGGUGGCCGCAAACAGUUUACGGCUGUGGGAUGAGAACUUGUCUUGUGAAUGUGACGUUGGGAGGAGGGAAGCACAGGGGAAGAGGAGGACGAGGAGGAAGAGAGUUAAGAGUCACAAGAGGAGGAGGAAGGUGGAAAGAAAGAGGAAGGAGAGGAGGAGGAGGAGGAGGAGGAAGAUGGAGAAGGAAAGGAGAAAGAUAAGAAGGAAGGAAAUGCCGCAGAAGGAGAAGGUGAGUUGUUAAUAAGGUUUUGUGUGACAAGUUUUCUGAAAAUUUUAUUUGUUUACAUGAAGUUCGUUUUGUAUAUAUUACUCUUAAUAUACUACUUCUCCCACCACAUGCAAUUUGUCUGUCUGCUGUUGUGGUUCUUUCAUUUCUUGU